rnacentral:rRNA from 1 species
ACUCAAAGGAAUAGACGGGGGCCCGCACAAGCGGUGGAGCAUGUGGAUUAAUUCGAUGCAACGCGAAGAACCUUACCUAGGCUUGACAUGGAGUCGCAACACUUAGAGAUGAGUGCCUCACUUCGGUGACGGCUCACACAGGUGGUGCAUGGUUGUCGUCAGCUCGUGUCGUGAGAUGUUGGGUUAAGUCCCGCAACGAGCGCAACCCUUAUCUUUAGUUCCCAGCGGGUGAUGCCGGGUACGCUAGAGAGACUGCCGUGGAUAACACGGAGGAAGGUGGGGAUGAUGUCAAAUCAUCAUGCCCCUUACGUCUAGGGCUUCACACGUGCUACAAUGGUCUCUACAAAGUGAAACAAAGCUGUGAAGUGGAGUGAACCACGAAAAGAGACCUCAGUUCGGAUUGCAGGCUGCAACUCGCCUGCAUGAAGUUGGAAUCGCUAGUAAUCGCGAAUCAGCAUGUCGCGGUGAAUACGUUCCCGGGCCUUGUACACACCGCCCGU